rnacentral:rRNA from 1 species
UGCGUAGGCGGGCUAAUAAGUCAGUGGUGAAAUCUUCCGGCUCAACCGGGAAACUGCCAUUGAUACUGUUAGUCUUGAGUUCGGUUGAGGUAGGCGGAAUGUGUAAUGUAGCGGUGAAAUGCUUAGAUAUUACACAGAACACCAAUUGCGUAGGCAGCUUACUAGACCGACACUGACGCUGAGGCACGAAAGCGUGGGUAGCGAACAGGAUUAGAUACCCUGGUAGUCC